CUGUGAAUCAAGCUUACUGAUUUUCUUCAGUCCUGAUACAGUUCUCUACUAAAUGUAUUAAUAUAGUCCACAAAAGAGUCAGUAGGCCCAGUGCAGUGGCUCACACCUGUAAUCCCAGCACUUUGGGAGGCCAAGGCGGGCGGAUCACAAGGUCAGGAGAUCGAGACCACGGUGAAACCCCGUCUCUACUAAAAAAUACAAAAAAAAAAAAAAACUAGCCGGGC
rnacentral:lncRNA from 1 species